rnacentral:tRNA from 1 species
GAGGGUACAACUCAGUGGUAGAGUGGAUGUUUCACAUGCCUGAGGGCCAGGGUUCAAUCCCCAGUACCUCCA